UACGUAGGUGGCAAGCGUUAUCCGGAAUUAUUGGGCGUAAAGAGCGCGCAGGUGGUUGAUUAAGUCUGAUGUGAAAGCCCACGGCUUAACCGUGGAGGGUCAUUGGAAACUGGUCAACUUGAGUGCAGAAGAGGGAAGUGGAAUUCCAUGUGUAGCGGUGAAAUGCGUAGAGAUAUGGAGGAACACCAGUGGCGAAGGCGGCUUCCUGGUCUGUUACUGACACUGAGGCGCGAAAGCGUGGGGAGCAAACAGG
rnacentral:rRNA from 1 species